rnacentral:lncRNA from 1 species
AGAUGCUUUGAGGUGAUGGAGUAAAACCAGAAUUGCUUGUUUAGUUUAAAGCCUCUCCUGGCAAUUUCUAGUGCUCUGUUUCCACUGCUUGUGUUUGUAGAAAUGUGUAUUGAGAGUUUUUUUAAAGUAACCUAAAAGGAACUUGAGUCAGACAUUGUUGUUUUUAAUUCUGAUCAUUUUGGGGUUUUCGUUGUGUUUUUUUUAUUAUUUUGUUAUUGUUUAACAAAUUAAUAGGAUUGUGCUAGUAUUACUAUUUUUUAUUAUUGCUGCUUUUAAAUAAUAGUAUAUUCUUUGAGUGGUAUAGAUUCAGUUUUACUUUCUUCUCUUCCUGUAGCUGAAGUUGAGGAAAAAUAGAAUAAUAGGACACUGGCACAAGCUUUAUUUUUAACAAGAUAAACCAAGGUACUGACUCUGUUUUCCUCGACUCCAGGUGUUCCUGCUAAAGAGAAAAUUACUUGCAGAGGAUCAGAACAACAACAAAAUUCAGUCUUAAAUCUGAAACUCCCUGAGGAGAACACAAGAAAUAGAAGUGUGAUUUUAGUACUACCUGAUAACUGGGGCAUCUUUUGAUUUUUAAAGCCAGAAUUUCUUGUUUCAUUUGAAUAGUCCAUUUAGGACUAAUGGAUCCAGGUAUCAGACCUCAAUCCUCGUGAGCAGUUUUAGCAUUACCAUUUAAUUCUUGCAAUACUUUUAGCUACCUUUUGUUUGCUUUCUUGUCUUACCAUUACUUUCGUUUCUCACAAGCAAGUUAAAACCAGUGCCCUUGAUGUCUGUCCUGGCUUUAGCAGUAUCUUGUCUGACUGAGUUGAGAGUAUAAUUGCUGGGAUAACUGGGAAUUUGUGCAUUUAUUCAUUUGGGUGUACAUAUUGUGGAAGGGGAGAGGUCUUUAGCAUAAUUAAGCAUUAAGUUUAAUAAUUUAAGUGUGGAUUUGAACAGUCCUUAGUGUUGCUAAUGGUACGUUUAUUCUAAAUGCUAGCAAGAAUUCCAUAAUUCCAAUGCAAGUGUUG